UAUUCUCAGGGCGGGGCGCAAUUCCCCACCGGCGGUAAAUCAGCUCAGCUGAAAGCCCGCGAGCGCUUUAUUCCACUGAAAAGCGGGGUAAAGGACAGCAGAUCCGGUGCAAUUCCGGGGCCGACGGUUACAGUCCGGAUGGGAGAGGGUA
rnacentral:ncRNA from 1 species